GUAAUGGGCCGAACAAUAUGUUGCAGGCGGAAAAAGGUCAAAGUCGCUACCGAACGCGACAGUUCAAAACCAUCUGGAGGAAUAGGGACGGAAUUGCUUAGGUGUCUUCUUACUUGCGUUAACUGCCAACCCUGCGGUCCAACUAAAGCUGAAGAUUUUCGUAGAAGAGAUAUUGUCGAG